CCUCCUUGGAAGUCCUCGUGUUGCACCCCU
rnacentral:rRNA from 2 species